rnacentral:rRNA from 1 species
AAUGAACGUUAGCGGCGUGCCUGAUGCAUGCAAGUCGAACGGUUUGAUGGUUCGUAAGGAUUAUCAGAUAGUGGCGAACGGCUGAGUAACGCGUAAGUGACCUACCUCUAAGUGGGGAAUAACCUGCCGAAAGGCAAGCUAAUACCGCAUGUGCUGGUAAGCAUAAGGUUUGUCAGUAAAGCUUUUGGGCGCUUGGAGAGGGGCUUGCGUCUGAUUAGCUAGUUGGUGGGGUAAUGGCCUACCAAGGCGACGAUCAGUAGCUGGUCUGAGAGGACGACCAGCCAGACGGGGACUGAGAUACGGCCCUGACUCCUACGGGAGGCAG